CCUACGGGUGGCUGCAGUGGGGAAUAUUGCACAAUGGGGGAAACCCUGAUGCAGCGACGCCGCGUGAGUGAAGAAGGAUUUCGGUAUGUAAAGCUCUAUCAGCAGGGAAGAAGCAGGACGGUACCUGACUAAGAAGCCCCGGCUAACUACGUGCCAGCAGCCGCGGUAAUACGUAGGGGGCAAGCGUUAUCCGGAUUUACUGGGUGUAAAGGGAGCGUAGACGGUAUGGCAAGUCUGAAGUGAAAGCCCCGGGCUUAACCCGGGGACUGCUUUUGAAACUGUUAGACUAGAGUGCUGGAGAGGUAAGUGGAAUUCCGGGUGUAGCGGUGAAAUGCGUAGAUAUUAGGAGGAACACCAGUGGCGAAGGCGGCCUACUGGACAGUAACUGACGUUGAGGUUCGAAAGCGUGGGGAGCAAACAGGAUUAGAUACCCUAGUAGUC
rnacentral:rRNA from 1 species